GUCAGACUAACCAGGAGAAAAUACAACACAAAAUACAAUGUUACACGACAGUAAUAUCAGGACCAUCUACAGAUAUUAAAGGAAUUAUAAGGAAAUAUUAUGAACACCUUUAUCACAAUAAAGACAUAUAAUUUACCAAAGUUUACUCAAAAAGAAAUAGAUAAUCUGAAUAGUCCCAUAACUAUGAAAUGAAUUUAUUUUAUAGUUAAGAAUUUUCCCACAAAGAAAAAUUCUAAUGUGUGGUUGGCUUCUUGGGUGAAUUCCCCUAUAUGUAUAAGGGAGAAAUAAUUCUAAUUUUAUAUGAAUUCUGCCAGAUAAUUCUGCUGCCCUCAUCUUAAGACAAAGACAGUACAAGGGGGAAAACAAAAACAAAACAGUCCUAGAUCCAAAUGUCCCUCAUGAGCAUAGAUACAAUUCUAAACAAUAUCUGACCAAACCAAAAGUAGCAAUCCAUAAAGGGGACAGUGCCUCAUGACUAAGUGGGAUGAUCUCCGGAAUUCAUGGAAAGUUCAACUUUCAAAUACCAAUCAAUCUUACAUUACCAGGUCCAAAACACCAGAGUAUGAAGUAAGUCCCAUAGAGGUCAAAGACCUAUAUAUAACAUAGGUAAGAGAAAUUAAAGAAGACUUAAAUAAUUGGAGAGAAAAGCUGACUUCAUAGACUUGAAGACUCAAUAUUGUUAAGUGUCAAAUCUCAAAUUGAUGCAUACAAAUGCAUUGUAAUCCAAAUAGAAUUCCCAGCAGGCAUUUUUGUAGAAAUUGGCAAGCUAAUGCCAACAUUCAUAUAGGAAUGCAAAGGACCUAGAAUAGCUCAAGAAACUUUGAGGAAGAGAAAAGUUGGAAGGUGAACACUAUCUGACUUUAAAACUUAACAGUGACUCUACAGUAAUUAAAACAGUAUGGUAAUGACAUCAGCAAGGUCACAGAUUAAGGAGACCAGAAAUCUGUGCAUAUAAGGACACCUCAUUUGCAACUAAAGCAUAGGGCAGAUUAGUGAAGACAGAAAUUAAAAAUGUGCAAAAAUGGUGCUGAAACCAUUGGAUAGUCAGACUUUUUAAAAAAAUCCCUCCAUCAGUACAUUGCACCAUAUACCAAAUUAAGUGCAAAUGGAUCACAGACCCAAAUAUAAAACUUAAAUUGUAACUUUUAGGGAAAAAAAACUUCACAGGAAAACAAUAUUUGUAAACUUUAGUUAGACAAAGAUUUAUUAGAACAUAAAAACAAACUCCAUGUUUUUACUUUUUUAUUUUUUUUGGUACCAGGGAUUGAACUUGGGUCCUUCCACUUGCGAGACAGGCACCAGAACCACUGAGCUAAAUUCCCGGCCCUAGUUCAUGUUUUUAAAAGUGACAAAUUGGAAUUUAUAUGAAAAAUUUCUCAAGGAACUACAAGGGACUGAGAAGAUCGGGGAGAAGUAGAGGAGGAGGAUGGAAAAAAGGCUGGACGUGCUCAGUGCAUGGUGUGUGCAAGUAUGGGAUGAUCACAGCAAGUCCCACUCAUUUGUACGAUUAAUAUGUGUUGAUCAUUGUAAUAAAACAUUUACAUACAACACUAGAGACUAACCAGGAAGACCUGGAGCAGUGGUUCUCAACCUGGUUCAGGUGGGAGGAUCAUGAAUUUACAAUUUUUUAUUUUGAAAGUGAUAAGAUACUGAUAAAUAUUUUUAAUGAAAAACUUCUCUUUGAAAAUCAAUGUUAAGAGAAUGAAAAGACAACCCAGCACAUAAUAAACUAUAAAACUAUAGUUUUAACUAUAAAGCUAUAAUAAUACAAUGAAUUCUAAUGGCUAUAAUGCUAUUGCCAUUUUUUUUUUCAGUACUGGAGAUUGAACCCAGAGCGUUCACACAGAGCUAUAUUCUCAGUCCUUUUUUAUUUUUUAUUUUGGGACAGGGUCACACUAAGUCCCUAAGUUGUCCAGACUGGGUUUGAACUUGCAGUCCUCUUGCCUCGGCCUCCCAGAGUGGUGGGAUUACAGGUGUACUAUACUGCACCCAGUUUGCUGUUGCAAAUUUUUUUUUUUUUUCUUGGUACCGGGGAUCGAACUCGGGUCCUUGCGCUUGCGCAGUGGACAGUGAAACCACUGAGCUAAAUCCCCGGCCCGCUGUUACAAAUUUUUACGAUGGAAAAGGUUUAAAGAGCCACUUCACCAAAGAAAAUAUAAUGGGCAGCAAGUAAGCACGUGGAAAGGUCUUCAGGAUCACAGUCCUUAGGCACCUUCCAGCUGAAAGCAGUGAGCUCACCCCACACACACACCCGCUGGCGUCGCUGACCUUAAUCCAUGAUGAUGUGGAGAAGUGACCCUUGCCUGCUGCUGCUAGGAAGGUGUGGUCGUGCAGUUACUUUGGGAAACAGUGUGGCACAACAAAGAAACAUUGAACAUAUCCGCACUGUCUAACCCGACUUUCCACCCACAGGUGUUUACUUCAGAGAGCCACACUGAGACCUGCACAUGUGAGCUGGGCUGUGAGCUCCAGAGCCUGGAAACAACCCACAUGUCCAUCAGCAGAUCAUCUCCAAAUAACUCACAUCUGCGGGACUAGGGGUGUUGGAUUCCAAUACGAAGUUGAGAAGACACAAUUCAGCCCAUAACAGGCAGUAGAUGGGCCAUGAAUUAGUCAUCUUUCUGUUACCAUAACAAACUACCCGAGUUAACCAAUUUAUGAAGAGAGGAUUUAUUUUAGCUCACAGGUAUAGAUGCUGCAGUCCCAGAUUAGACAGAUCCAUUCUGGUGAGGACUGUGUGGUGGAGUAGUUCCUCACUUCAUGGUGGCUGAGAAGUGACAGAGGGGAAGAGAGACCAAGGUCCCACAGUCCCUUCUCAAGAGCAUGGCCCCAGGGACCUAAAACCUCCCAUAGGCUCCACCUCCUAAAGACCCCAUCACUUCCCAGCACCACCCCGCUGGACAUCAAGCCCCUAAUACCUAGGCCUUUGGGGAACAAUCUCGACUCUAAUUAUAGCAGGCCAUCAGCUGGUCAUUCUGGAGCUGAGCCACAGGUGCAGAGACCCGGUCAUUAAACCAUAUUCUGUGGUUUUACGGUAUAUGUCUGAUCGAAACAUGACAUUUGACAGCUCACUCCCGUGUGGCCUCCAUGCUCGUGUGGAAGCCACCCCAGCCUGUACCCUGGCUGAGCCACCAGGGAAGGGCCUUAUGGGGUACCCUCACUCACUGCUAUUGACCCGAGGGACACCACUUGGUCCCACACAGAAAAGCCUUUGCUCCCUUUAUAUGAUGUGUAAUCCAAACACCACACUUCCAGGAGACCCAGCAAUGAGGAUUCCAGGAAGGCUGCUCUUCCCACAUCUCUUGGAAGGGCUGCCGAGUGGGACCUACAACCAAAAUGUUCUCUGGUUCUGAUGUCAUUUAUUUCCAGAGGUGUUUACAGAACUCUAAAAAUAACUGCAGAGUAUGUUUUGAAAACUUCUCUAAAGUGCAGGAUGGACCUGUAAUUAUCUGGUUCUCACGAGCCGUUGCUCUCUCUGUGCAAUUAUGUGGUCGGUAGUCAUCAGAAAAUGACAGGUUUGUGCUCAGUGCCGUCAAGUUAUUAUCUAAAGCAGCAGUCCCCACCCCUCAGUGUGAAAAGCUACUAAAUCAAGCAAAAUAGUCAUCGGAUUCCUCUGCUUGUCAGAAGUGGAGCCAGGCUGCUAAACACCCAGAAUGUCAGCACUAAUGCUUCCUGUGACCCUCUGGGGCCUGGAUUUUUGGCCCUCUACUUACCUGACAAAGGCAAAACCGAAUCUCAGAGAACUUUCCAGUUCCUGCUGUGUCAUGACCAUUACAACAUCCUUGGGAAGAGAGCUACCUUCCUUUCUUUCUUUCUUUCUUUCUCUCUUUCUUUCUUUCUUUCUUUUCUUUUUCUGUCUCACAUUUUACUUUUAAAGAAACUGGAAGUUGAGUAGAGCAGGUGGCCAAAUGGUCAGGCAGAGUGGCAGGUCUGGAGACACCUGUGUGUGCUCACUUACGGCCUGGAGGGUGCAGGGUGGGUGCCUCCUCCCCACUUCAAUCACUUAUACCCCAACACACACCCUCUCAGGCCUGGCCCCUGGGAGAAUCUCACUGCGGCUCCUGACCUCAGUUCCAGAAGGCUCUCAGGUGUACGUGUGGACAGGGUGCCCAGGGGUUUCCCCAGCACUUGGCUGUGCCUUGGCAUGCAGGUGGUAGCCAACACUUUACCUGGAGAGGCCACUGAGUGAGGAAGCGCCUGCCUGCCUCUGCAGCCCCUCACCCUAGGAUGCUCACCAGCUGGGCUUGGUUGGGAAUGGACGAGGAGAGAGACCAGGGCCCAAAAAAAAGGCACUGUCCUAGUUCGUUUGUGGUGCUGUAACAAAAUAUCUGAGACUAGGUAAUUGAUAAAGGACAGAAAUUUUUUUCUUACAGUUUGGGGGUUGGAAGUCCAAGACUGAGGCACUAGCGUUGAUGCCUAGAAGGCUACUCUGCUUCCGAAGUGGCAUCUUGUUCCUGUCUUCACAUUGUGGGAGGGAGGAGAGCAAAACAGAUCUGAGUUAGUUCCCACAGCGCUUUGGUGUGGUCUAAUCCACUCACAAAGGUGUAGCCUUCAGUAUCUACUCAUUCCCAAAAGAUCCCACCUCUCAGCACCACCAAAAUUGGGCUUAGGUUUCAACACAUGAAUUUUGGAGGAGACACACUGAAACCACAGCAGACAGGCCACAAGUUUCUAAAUGCUGGAAUUCAUCCAAACCAACUAGGCCAAGCAGAACGAAAGUUCUACCUGCUCGAUAGCCUUGGACAUCUCAGCUUCAAUUUUUAGGUUUCCCAGUGCUGGCCUUUACCUGAGACUGGUUCUCCUGGAAAACACCUCUGGCUAAGAAGUGCCCACCAGCCCAUAUGACCUAGAGGAGCUUUGCUGUCUGCAUGUCUGUGAUGCCUGUUUACCGGUGACAAAGCCAAUAUUUUCCUUCUGAUAUAUCAGCAUUGUCUCAAGAAUGAUUUGCUGAGAUGAGAGCAGUUUGUCCCUCUGAAACUGGCAGGGAAAAUACUGCCUGUGAUUUGGACUGGCUGACAGGCUUCCCACCUGGAACGGCCUGCCACAGCAGCCUGAAGGAUGUCAUCAUCUUACCUGGUUGGUGUUUGUCUUUGAUAAGUUCAAAUCUGGCAAAAGGCAAAUCGGUGGAGGGGCUGGGAUGGAGCUGGCAGAUGACUCCUCCAGGGUCAGGUCAGCUGCCUCUCACUCCACCUUGUCCACAUGACUGUGGGACAGUGCCCAGAGCUAGGCACACACAUGGGUGUUCCUGAGUGCUGGGGCACUCUUGGGUCAGAUUGCCGGGGUAACUGGGCUUCUUGUGCCAUGUUAGUAUCUCCAAAUAAUUGCUUUUGGCAUAUAUGAGUCCUGGAUGAAGAGGCUAAAUUUUGCUUAAAAAGAAAAAAGUUUUCAUCACUAUAAUCUGUUGUAAACUGAGUGUGCAUUUAAAAAAAAUUGUUAAGCUUUUCACUACAGAUUUUCAGAGUGAUUUGUCGACAUGAAGCCAUUGCCAAGUGCUGUGGGGUCCAGGAGGAUGAACACAAGUUCAGAGAAAGACUCAGGAUGGCGAGUAGCCAGUCAGCAGCUUGUGGGAAAGGGCCCGGCAGAUGGGCUGGCAGGGACGUGCUGUAGCAGCUACCAUGAGCAGCAUCUGCAGAAUGGCUCUGCUUCCUGGUCCCCACUACAGGCUCCCCUUAGAACCUACUUUCAGAAGGAAAAUUAUUUCCGGGGAAGCCCUGGGGGAUAGGAUUCUGGGAGUCGAUUCAGCAUAGACUGAAUUGUAGGCAGAGCCCAUAUGCCCUGUCCCUUGUCAGAAAUGAGAGCUCACGGGGAGCAGCAGAACAGGAAACAGACACCCUCAAACAGGCCAGGGUUCCCAAGAGAGGGUGUGGCUAGGCCAGGAUGGGGUGAGACAACAGGGCUGUGAGGGGAGCAGGUGGAUGUGGCUUUCUGAUUGCUCUCAAGUUGACACCUACAGACAGCAAAUGGCGAUAGGGUCUUGUGGGAAGUUGGAUUUGGCCAAACCCCAGCACCUAAAUAAUUCCAUGGACCUUGCCUCAGAGGAUAACUGAUAAAUAAUGGGAAUAUUUUGCUAGAUGUUUUCUUUGAAAAAUGUGAACUUUGUUCAUUACAACAUUGUUUCCGGAUAGGAGGCCAGGCACAUGUUGUGCUACCUUACUCAACAUCAAAUCUAGAGAAAAGUAUAAUAAUGAAAUAAUUCAGUCUCUUAUCCAUGGAGAAUACAUUCAAGACCCCUAGUUGAUGUCAGAAACCAGAUAGUGUCAAACUCUACAUAUACUAUUUUUUUCCUGUACCUAUGAAAAAGUUUAAUUUAUAAAUUAGGCAGAGUAAGAAACAACUGACAAUAAAAAGAACAAUCAUAAAAGUAAAUUGUAAUUGACGUUUGAAUUUCGGGGCCAUUAUUGGGAUUACUUGAACAUAAGCAUCGAAGCACUACAAACAGCUGAUGUGAGGACACACAUGGCUACUGAGCAACUACUAGGCAGGUAGUGUAUGGAUGAGCCAGGCAAAAGGACAUGACUCCCCUCCCUAGUGGGGUGACAUUUCAUCACACUGCCAGGAUUGCACACAAUUAAAAACUUAUGAACUGUUUAUUUCUGGAGUUGUCUAUUUAAUAUUUCCUGACUGCAGCUGGCCACGGGCAACUGAAGUGAAACCAUGGAUAAGUAGAAGGGCAGCUGCACAAAGCCCAAUUCAGAGCCACAUGGAGGGCGGUUGUGGAUGAUAUGAGGCCCCAAAAGAUGGAGAAGAGACUCAAAGUUUCCGAGGGAAGUUGCAGAAGAUGGUCCCUGGAAAGGUGCCCUGUGCGUAGAAAGGAUAUCUGUUUGGGGAGAAGGUACUGAGCUGGGGGAGAGGUUCAGGAGUGGCCCACCUGUGACGGCCCCAUCUCUCACCUCCUGGGGGUGAGCGGGUGGCUGUCUACAGGGGAGGAAAAGGGCAGGGGACAGUCAUUCCAGGACACGGGCUCCAGGGCAGCCCAGCUUCCCCACUUUCUCUGAGAACAGUGAGUGGUGGCAGUGUUCACGUCCCCAAACUCAGAGACACACGUCUGACCUGUGAGGACACCGACACAGAAGAGAGAGGCCCAUAGGAGAACUCACAUCAGAGGAGAUCGAGUUAAUGGAGCAGCAAGACCAGAUGUGAAAGCAGAUGUAUUUAAAAUUCUCUGAGAGAAAAACAGGCAGCUACAAAACAAAAUGUGGCUAUGAGAAGAAGUCAAGUGAGAGAUGUCAGGAAAACAUUUAAAAAUAUAUAACUCUUAGAAUUUAAAAAUAACUUUAUGAAAAAUUCAAAUAAGCCAAAAAAGUAAAAGAUUCUACAAAAUGAGAUAAAUACUGUUAUAAUUUUAGUAAAUUUUCUUCCAGAUACAUACACACAGUAUACUUUCUAACAAAAAAUCAUACUUACACAUAUUUUAUAUGUAAUAUAUAUCAUACAUAUGUAUUUUAUUCUACCAGACAUAUUUAUGAUAUAUAUCCAGAAAGAAGUUGUUGGUGAUAAAACUGGAAGAAAUCAUGGUAUGAAAGUUUAUAUGUGACCAAGAAAGAGAAUAGCAAAUGUUGUCAGCUCCUAGACUCCAGAAAACUAAUUCCAAAAGUUUCACAGAAAAAGCCUAACUAAAUUGAUGCCUUGAGAGAGUGGGUAAGUACUCAAAAAAUAAAUUCUGACUGUGUUAUCACUAUUUCAGUACAGAAUAAAUAGAUGCCAUAGAUCUCUCCCUCCCCCCUUCUCCAUCUCUCCCCUAAGGAUAGAAGAAGGGCUUCUCUGCAUGCUAACCAACUACUCUACUACUAAAGUACAGCCUCAGCCAUAAAGAAGGUAAAUGAUAAGGAAAUCCUGAGGAUAAGGCAAAGAUCAACCAAAGUCCAUCCAAGAAGCAGGGGCCAAGCUGAGGUGGAAGACAUGGGGAGGAAGAUUUUCUUAAUAUUAGAGAAGGG
ensembl:lncRNA